rnacentral:rRNA from 1 species
GGACUUCGUGCCAGCAGCCGCGGUAAUACGAGGGAUGCAAGCGUUAUCCGGAAUUAUUGGGCGUAAAGCGUUCGUAGGUGGCAAUUAAGUCUGUUGUUAAAACUGGAGCUUAACUCCAUACCGGCAAGGAAACUGGUUAGCUAGAGUAUGGUAGGGGUAACAGGAAUUCCCAGUGUAGCGGUGAAAUGCGUAGAUAUUGGGAAGAGCAUCACCGCGGCGAAAGCGUGUUACUGGGCCAUUACUGACACUGAGCCACGAAGCUAGGGGAGCGAAAGGGAUUAGAUACCCCUGAGUCCUAGCCGUAAACGAUGAGAACUAGGUGUUGCGCGUAUCGACCCCGCGGUGCCGUAGCUAACGCGUUAAGUUCUCCGCCUGGGAGUACGCACGCAAGUGUGAAACUCAAAGGAAUUGACGGGGGCCCGCACAAGCGGUGGAGUAUGUGGUUUAAUUCUUGAUGCAACGCGAAGAACCUUACCAGGGUUUGACAUCCUCGGAACUGUGCCUUCGGGAGCUUCUGGAAACAGAUUG